UAGAGUUGAUCAUGGCUCAGGAUGAACGCUGGCGCGUGCCUAAUACAUGCAAGUCGAGCGAAUGGAUUGAGAGCUUGCUCUCAAGAAGUUAGCGGCGGACGGGUGAGUACACGUGGGUAACCUGCCCAUAAGACUGGGAUAACUCCGGGAAACCGGGCUAAUACCGGAUAACAUUUGAACCGCAUGGUUCGAAAUUGAAAGGCGGCUUCGGCUGUCACUUAUGGAUGGACCCGCGUCGCAUUAGCUAGUUGGUGAGGUAACGGCUCACCAAGGCAACGAUGCGUAGCCGACCUGAGAGGGUGAUCGGCCACACUGGGACUGAGACACGGCCAGACUCCUACGGGAGGCAGCAGUAGGGAAUCUUCCGCAAUGGACGAAAGUCUGACGGAGCAACGCCGCGUGAGUGAUGAAGGCUUUCGGGUCGUAACUCUGUUGUUAGGGAAGAACAAGUGCUAGUUGAAUAAGCUGGCACCUUGACGGUACCUAACCAGAAAGCCACGGCUAACUACGUGCCAGCAGCCGCGGUAAUACGUAGGUGGCAAGCGUUAUCCGGAAUUAUUGGGCGUAAAGCGCGCGCAGGUGGUUUCUUAAGUCUGAUGUGAAAGCCCACGGCUCAACCGAGGGUCAUUGGAAACUGGGAGACUUGAGUGCAGAAGAGGAAAGUGGAAUUCCAUGUGUAGCGGUGAAAUGCGUAGAGAUAUGGAGGAACACCAGUGGCGAAGGCGACUUUCUGGUCUGUAACUGACAGCUGAGGC
rnacentral:rRNA from 1 species